AGCUUCUAAGCAGGUCCAGUGCCUGAGACCCUACAAAGCCCGGGAGUAUGACGAGGUGCGUCUUCAGAAAGCCGACAUCCUCAUCGUCACCCAGGAGAGCUCUGACGGUUGGGAAGAAGGCUACCGCCUGUCGGACGGCGACCCGCGGUUGGUUCCCUCUUCGCACGUGGAGGUGAUCACCAGCCACCCGCUCCCGGGUCAGGAACAUUGAGGAGUGCCUACAGCUCAGCCACAAGUCCUCGAGGUCCUCGGGCCACUGAACGCCGACCCUAAGCGAGGCACCCCCCCCCCCCCACCGCACCACCCAGCCCCGGUCGAACUGAGCGCAAAGAUUCGGGACCAGGACUGGGCUCCCGGAAAAAGAAAUUCCGAAGCCCGGGAUGCAUCCCUGCCUACUUUCCAGUCUCCCGAGGCCCACAAGCAGACGUGGAAAUCAAAGACCAGGCUCCGAAACCGGCCCUGUGCCAACAGCCAGAGAGCCCUGCAGAUUCCCAGACAGAUCUCGGCCGAGGCUAUCAACCUCCUGCCCACCUUCGAGGCUGCUGAGGCUAAGGACUCGCAGAGAAAUUGAGCCCCAGGCUCGAAACCUGGCCUACCUCCAAAAAACCCUAAGCCCCAAGGACUGCUGGCAAAAUUGAAGCCUCGUCAUCCCGUUUCCAUUCCCCUCAGAGGGAGCACACGUAUAGAGACCGAGGCCCGGGCUGCUAACCCCAGCCGAGUGUUCAAUUUGCCGAGGCACAGGCAAACCGAGGACAAGGCUUCAAGCCCACCAUGAUUCCGACGACUCCAGGCCCACACAGACCUCCAGAGAGACCGGACGCCGGGCUCCGCCUGCCAACCGCGCUUCCGGGCCAAGGGGUCGUGGACAAAGCGAGACACAGGCCGAGCCUACGGUCUGCUCGGGGGGAAAACGGGCAGGGAAAAAUUGAGCCCCAGGCUCCAAACCCGGCCUGGCCCCACCCAACGUACCCUGCGCUCCAGAAUGGGGGCCAGGCCUAGAGUCAAGGCGGGCAGGAUGCGCGGGGAACAGAACCCCUCACAGGCGAGGGAUCUCGUUGACGGGGCUGCUGCUGCACGGAGGACUCUGAGAAUCAAUAAAAUACAGGGGUUGCUUUUAA